AUAUAGCAAUUUGAUGUCUAGAAAUUUUUUCACAGAGACCAUUAAACAAAUGUAAAUACAUCUGCCAUCAAAAGUGGUUAUCAGAUUGUGGGUUGCUGGGCGGCCCCGGUAGAAAGAGGCCCAGGAAGAGUAGUGCAGGUCCCUGAAUAAGUUUCCAAAAUGAUGCCCACACCAGUUAUUCUGUUAAAAGAAGGGACUGAUAGCUCCCAAGGAAUUCCCCAGCUCGUGAGUAACAUCAGUGCCUGCCAGGUGAUUGCUGAGGCUGUAAGAACUACCCUGGGUCCCCGUGGCAUGGAUAAGCUUAUUGUGGAUGGCCGAGGCAAAGCAACAAUUUCUGACGAUGGGGCCACAAUUCUGAAACUCCUUGAUGUUGUGCAUCCUGCAGCAAAGACUUUAGUGGACAUUGCCAAAUCCCAAGAUGCUGAGGUCAGUGAUGGCACCACCUCAGUGACCUUGCUGGCUGCAGAGUUUUGAAGCAGGUGAAACCAUAUGUGAGGAAGGUUUGCAUCCCUAGAUCAUCAUUUGAGCUUUCCGCACAGCCACCCAGUUGGCAGUUAACAAGAUCAAAGAAAUCGCUGUGACUGUGAAGAAGGCAGAUAAAGUGGAACAGAGGAAGCUGCUGGAAAAAUGUGCGAUGACUGCUCUGAGUUCCAAGCUUAUCUCCCAGCAGAAAGCCUUCUUUGCUAAGAUGGUGGUUGAUGUGGUGAUGAUGCUCGAUGAUUUGCUGCAGCUUAAAAUGAUUGGAAUCAAGAAGGUAUAGGGUGGUGCCCUAGAGGAUUCUCAGCUGGUAGCUGGUGUUGCAUUCAAGAAGACUUUCUCUUAUGCUGGGUUUGAAAUGCAACCCAAAAAGUAUGAUAAUCCCAUGAUUGCCCUUUUAUAUGUUGAGCUGGAGUUGAAAGCUGAGAAAGACAAUGCCGAGAUCAGAGUCCACACAGUUGAGGAUUAUCAGGCAAUUGUUGAUGCUGAGUGGAACAUUCUCUAUGACAAGUUAGAGAGGAUCCAUCAUUUUGGAGCCAAAGUCGUCUUGUCCAAACUCUCCAUUGGAGAUGUGGCCACCCAGUACUUUGCUGAUAGGGACAUGUUCUGUGCUGGCCGAGUACCUGAGGAGGAUCUGAAGAGGACAAUGAUGGCCUGUGGAGGCUCAAUCCAGACCAGUGUGAAUGCUCUGUCAAAAAAUGUGCUGGGUCACUGUCAGGUGUUUGAAGAGACCCAGAUUGGCGGCGAAAGGUACAAUUUUUUCACCGGCUGCCCCAAGGCCAAGACAUGCACCUUCAUCCUCCGUGGUGGUGCUGAGCAGUUUAUGGAGGAAACGGAGCGGUCCCUGCAUGAUGCCAUCAUGAUCGUCAGGAGGGCCAUCAAGAAUGAUUCAGUGGUGGCUGGUGGCGGGGCCAUUGAGAUGGAGCUCUCCAAGUACCUGCGGGAUUACUCAAGGACUAUUCCUGGAAAGCAGCAGCUGUUGAUUGGGGCAUAUGCCAAGGCCUUGGAGAUUAUCCCACGCCAGCUGUGUGAUAAUGCUGGCUUUGAUGCCACAAACAUCCUCAACAAGCUGCGGGCUCGGCAUGCCCAGGGGGGCACAUGGUAUGGGGUGGACAUCAACAACGAGGACAUUACUGACAACUUUCAGGCCUUCGUGUGGGAGCCAGCUAUGGUGCGGAUCAAUGCCCUGACAGCAGCCUCAGAGGCGGCGUGCCUUAUCGUGUCCGUAGAUGAAACCAUUAAGAAUCCCGGCUCGACUGUGGAUGCUCCCCCAGCAACUGGCCGGGGCCGAGGUCGUGGCCGUCCCCUUUGAGAGGCAUCCCACUCAUCACGUGACUGGCUGGCUGUAGGGUGCACUUAGUCUCCCUGGCUUGGUUAAUUGGUGUUACAAGGAAAGGAUAUUAAUUGGCCCAUUCUAUUCUCACUGGAUGUUAUUUAAAUAAAACUUAAGACUUCGAAUUAAAAAAAAAA